AAAAUUGCAAUGUUAUUUGGAAAAAAUUUGAAUUAUGAAUGAGAGAAAAUUUUGGAGGGAGAGAGAAUUUGGAUCUUGAAAUGGUGAAAAAUGAUUAACCUCCUUCAAAUUCUGUUAGAUUUAGGUAUUUAUAUGAAGUCCUAAUCACAUUGCUAAUCCAUAAUUAACUUGGUUAAUUAAAAUAAGGUGUUUUGCAAAAAAUAAAAAAUGCAUGGUGCAUGGACUAAUCCCACGUGAACAGUGCCAUUUCCUUGAUCAAUUACACUCAAAAUCA
rnacentral:lncRNA from 1 species